UCCAGCCCCCGCGCGCCGGGGCGGGGCCGGUGAGCCACGGGGCAGUUAGUGUGUGCGCCGCUCUGCGGGCCGGCAGCCCCGGGAGCUGGAAAGCAAUGGGUCCCCGCAGGCCCCGCCCCGCCCCGCCGCGCAGCUGGGAAGCCCGCAGGUGGCGGCGGCGCCGGGGCUGCUAAGCCGGGCUCGCCCAGUGGUGCGCCCCCUUCCCACGCUCUUUCGGAGCGAACCACACCUUCCUGCUCCCUGUACCUCCCCAGCCUCUGCCGAAAGCCUCAAGAACCGGGCCGCGCACUCCGCUUUCCACAACGGUGUGCUGCUGCGAGUCCGAGUGCGAGCCAGAAACCACUGGGAGGCAAGCCCCACGUUUCACAGGUAAAAAGAAGCCAAGACCCAGAGAGCUUCAAGAUCUGACCCUUGCCAAGCAGCGGUACAAAAAUGCGAAUGAAGCCAAGGGAACGUAUCCCUAAAUAUUACCAGCGACUGCAGACCCAGGUGAUGAUUGGCAGCCCAGCUUGAAGCUUCAUGUGCAGGCCUUCUAGGCACGGCCAGCAACCACGAUGAGGGGUCCCUCCCCUUGACUGACAUUCUCUUAACGUCUUUUCAGCUUCACAGUUUGCCUGUUCCAGCUUUUCCUCUUCUCAGAUUUCCUGAACUUAUGAUGGGGUUGGAUAUGCUGCAGUCCAAGGUGUGGAAUGAAGAGGCCACCACCAGUUAACCCUGCCGUGAUACUCAGAAAGCUAGAAGACUCCAAACACAGAGACUUCAGUCUCCACCAGUGUGCUUGUUAGUAGACCUACCCCUGGAAGUUUACCUUUCAGAUCUCAAAUGAAGGUAUAUUUUAUUUAUUUGACAGAGAGAGAUCACAAGUAGGCAGAGAGGCAGGCAGAGAGAGAGGAGGAAUCAGGCUCCCCGCUGAGCAGAGAGCCCGACGCGGGACAUGAUCCCAGGAUCCUGAGAUCAUGACCCGAGCCGAAGGCAGUGGCUUAACCCACUGAGCCACCCAGGUGCCCAGACCUUCUCUCAUUCUUACAGGCCACAUAAAAGAUGUUGGGGAGGGAAGGACUGUAGUAAUAGAGAAUUGGGGGUUGUUGUUGUUGUUAGAAAUGAUGAGGGGCAGAGGGAGAGAGAAUCUUAAGCAGGCUUCACACCUAGUGCAGAGACUGACACAGCGCUCGAGCUCACUACCCUGAGAUCAUGACCUGAGUCAAAACCAAGAACUGGACACUUAACUGACUGAGCCAGAUGGGUGCCCCUUGUUUGUUUUUUAUUGAGGUGCAGUUAACACACGGUGUUACAUUAGUUACAGGUGUACAACACAGUAAUUAGACAAUUCCAUACAUUGUCAUAUUCAACCCAAGUGUAGCUGCCAUUUACCAUAAAAUGCUGUUACAUUAUUAACUAUAUUCACUAUGCUGUCUCUUUCAUCCCUGUGACUUACACGUUCCAAAACUGAAAGCCUGUACCUCCCACUCUCCUUUAUGAUUUUCUUGUUUCCUCUCUAUACCCUUCUCCCCUCUGGCAACCACCAGUUUGUUCUCUGUUUAUGUGUCUGUUUCUCCUUUGCUUUUUUAUAUUCUGCGUCUAAGUGAAAUCACAUGGCAUUUGUCUUUCUCUGACUUAUGUCACUUAGCAUUAUACCCUCUAGUUCCAUCCAUGUUGUCACAAAUGGCAAGAUCUCUUUUUAUGGCUGCAUAAUAUUCCAGAGAUCAUGUAUACCAUAUCUUCUUUUUCCAUUCAUCUAACAGUUAUUAAACUACACCUGUCUCUUUCACAAUGACAGGAUUUUAAGAUUUGAGAGAGAAAAAGCACACAUGAGGGGAGGGGUAGAGGGAGAGAGAAUGAAGCCCGACACGGGUCUGGAUUCAUGACCGUGAGAUCAUGACCAGAGCCAAAAACAAGCGUCAGAUGCUCAAGUGACUGAGCCACAAAGGCACACCUUACAAUGACAGGAUCUUUUUUUUUUUUUAGGUUUUGUUUAUUUGAUAGAUCACAAUUAGGCAGAGAGGCAGGCAGUGAGGCAGGCAGAGAGGGGAAGCAGGCUCCCUGCAGGGAGCCUGAUGUCGGGCUCAAUCCCAGGAGCCUGGGAUCAUGACCUGAGUCAAAGGCAGAGGCUUAACCCACUGAGCCACCCAGACGCCCCACAAUGACAGGAUCUUAACACUUAUACCUAUCUACUGGUUAUUUCCUUAUGCACUAAGCUCUGGAUAAUGAAAGAAGUACAUGCUCUCCCUGUAGUUUGAGACUGUGAAUGUUCUAGAAGUAUGAAUAGUAAAAUUUUACCUGACCUCUGCUAACGUGGGUCUGUCACUGCUUGUUUCCCUGGAACAGUCUGAGAGAUGGCUUGGGGGAGAGGGCGAAGAGUGACUGAGGCCCUUAAGCUCUGCUGACUCUACAGGAAUUGCACUUGACUUCUUCACUCCGGUGUCCUCAUUAACCAUUCCCUGGUUGGUUAUGUGUUGUGUGGCACGUGGUCUACCCUUGCACUGUGCUAGACCAGUUUUUUCCUGAUUUCUGUCUUCUAAUUCACUUAGAGGGUUUAACCAUGAAUCCCUCUACAACUUUUCUUCUAGAUUUCUUGGGAUCUGUUAGUUAACGUCUCUGUAGACCUGGCCUCAGCCACUGGUCUUCAGCACUUUCCCCAUCCUAACAGCUGGGCCAGAUGCCUUUCAGAGUCCGCAAAACCUGUUUUUUAAAGGUACAGGAGAAAAAAACACUCACUUCCCCUGUGCUUGUAAACAGGAACUAGUGGAAGACCAGAGACCUACUGGCUUUUUUGUGGUAGUUCCUGUUUUGAGAUCCUUAAGUUCAUUUUCUUCAUCUCUUUGAACUUGCUUUUUCCUCAGUGGUUGACCCAUGAUUAGACCCUACCCUCUGGUCUUAAGGAACUGCCUUCAGCCAUUUACUUCAUGCUAUGCCUCCUGAUCACAACUCUCAUUACUUUGUUUUCUCAGCCUUAAGGUUGUACUUAUCUGGAACCCAGGCACCUAGAGCAUUUCACUCUUUUCUUCUUUAAAACAGAACAGUCUAUUAACCCCAAUCUGUCUUCCCACAUUGUCCUCUCAUGAGGUAGUAUGCCAGGGGUCAGUUCUCAUUACCAUGUUGUCAUGUAGGAUAGAAGGCUUGAUCUUACCCUUACUUCCCUAAUGUGGACAAUUUAAAGCGUUACCACUUAUAUCUGCCCCACAUUCCAGAACAGUCCCAGCCCCAAAGGCAUGACCCCGUGUGAGACUGUGCAACCAGCAACAAAAUGUCAGUGUUUGUAAAUGGAUCCAAGGAUAUUCCUAUUUAUCUUCUACUGUCAUUCCUAGGCAUUCCUGUAGAAAUUUUUAAGAGGGAGAGGAAGGGAUAUAAUCCUAUCAAGUAUUGCCAUGAUGUCCAGUGCAGGAAACCUACACCAUAGUCCAAGUACAGCCACGGGCACUUGGAACAAUGACGGUGAUUACAGAUUGUAGUCAUUAAUCUGGGUAGGUCCAGGGGACUCUGAAUAAAGGUUCACACUGAUCUAUCAUUAGAAAGUACCCAUCACAUUUCUUUGGGUGGUAAAACCUGUCUGAUCUUCAAAGAACCAAGAUUCACUAUAUAAUACUUAAUAGAAAACUAUUACUUAAUUUACUGUACAGAUGAUACAUUUUACAUUGGAAAUUUAUUCGGGACAGGGCAUGCUAUUUGCUUUAAUAUCUGAGCUCUAUCUCCAUGCCUUAGUUUCAUUUAGAUUGUGAUAAUCUAGCUAAAGAAGUUUCAUAAAAUUGCUUAUAAAUCUAAACAGAGAACUUUGGUGAAGAAAAUAUUUUCAGGCCCAUCAGUUCUACCACAUCAGUCCUUGGUGAUCAGUAGUGCCACAGCCAAACUGCUCUCACGUCCAAAAUAUCUUCUCAGAAGAGAGCAACUUUGCCACAAGAACUCUUACUCUUCGUGCCAUGGUAUCAUUGCUAAACGACAUCUCCCAAUUUGUAGGGAUCUCAAAUAAGGCGAUCUUUCAGAUCAGUUGAUGUCAGUUGAUGUCAAAAAAAAAAAAAAAGAACAGUAGAGCCCAAAGGAAAAAAAGAAAACCUUCAAUCAAACAAAAUAAAAUCUUAAAAACUUGAGUUAGCCUUCAUUAAAUAAAAAAACAAUUAGGUUAUUUAUAAUUUUAGAGUUUCACAUAUGUAAUGCUGUGUUAAUAAGCAAUGAACACUUUCAUAAAAAAAUUUAUUUCACACUUUUAUACAAAUAUCCACAGGUAUUUUCUAAUCAUAAUUUUACAGUGCUACUUAGGAUUAAAAUGUAUCAAAUGCAAACAGACCCAGUGACUUGACUUGAGAUGACAUUUUUAACAAUAAACACCAUGAUGUUCCUUGUUGGACCAGCCUUCCACCUCUUCCCUUAUAGGACAUUCUUUGCUUUCUAACAAAGAUCUACAGACACUUUCAAAAUACCAGCUCCAUGGCAACCUAUAAAGCCAGUGCAUUUGGUUACAAGGUACCUACCUAAGCAAGAAACCUAGAUUUCAAACACUGGUAUGACCUGUUUUAGAGAAACUUUUGUAAACAAAGUAUCAUUUGUAAAACCAUCUUUGUGAAUGAAAGUUCCAAAGUACAAUGAGAAUAAUGUCCUUAGUAUCUUCAGAGCAUACAAUUUCUGUAAAGAAAAAAAACUCUGAAGCAACAAUUUGUUCCAACAAAUUAGCACCUGUUUGCUAUUAUUCCCCAUCUAACUUAACAUUUUAAAGUACAGUAAUUUUUAAAAAUUUGGAUUUCCUAUCUUGUUCAUUGUCUCUUGAAUGUAUAGAAAUGUUUUCCUCUUCUGCCAGUUCAUUUUUACAAUUAAAACCAUUGAAAACUGUAGUUAGCGUAGUCCCAAAGUAAUGUGGGGGGCUACAGAUAGGGGAGGAGACAAAAACCAGAACACUGACUCACCGAUUAAAUGGUUCCAACAUUUAAAAACAUAAAAGCCGUGAUGUUCUGACUUCCGGGAUCAGAUACUCAGUAGUCUCGCACUGGAUCCGUCUGGACCCACCAUAGGCACCGACCCUCUCUUUCAAGUCCUGACAGUACAGUGUGGGCAGCAGGGCUUACACCGCACCCGAGUCCAGCAAACCAACCCAUUAUUUCCAAGAGUUCCUGAAAGUUACAGCACAAAGGGUGCAGAAGACCUCACACAGGGCUCUAAACUCAACAAUAUGCGUUGUCCAGUAAGAAUUGAGCAUCUUACGGUUAACUCCUCUUUCUGAAACAGUUUGGGUCUGGAAGAGGGGGGUGAGGGCUGUCAGGAAGGGAGAUGUAAUAACUUAAGGAUUUUUUUUUUUUUUUUGCACGAAAUUCAAACCCAUGACCUCCCAUGUUCUAAUUCUGAUUGUUCAAUCCAAGGGUAAAGUGGAGAAUCUUUGGCCUGUCAAUGACAAAACGGUCAUAAAAAAAAAAAAAAAGAAAAAGAAAAAAUAAAUAGCAUAUACAAGUAAGUCUAAGGUAGCAUUCAAGUCUGUUGCACCUGUGUGUGUGAGCAGGAAGAGUGAAAGCUGUAUGUUACCUGGUGGGAGAAGUGUUCACACGUCUAGGAAAUGGGGACAGAUGGCAGGAUGGCAACGCCACCUAUUGCACAUUGCACUGAAGGUAGCACUCUGAAGUGAAACACAGCUACCCGAGGGCACAGUCUGGUGCUGCCACUGCUCCCUUGCGGCUCUCCGGUCCUAGGGGAGGGAGGUGUGCAGAGGCAGUGCCAACCACCGCAGCCGGCCUUUCAGCACAGUGACCGUGACUGGUGCCGUCUUCAGCUAUGCUAGGGGGAGGACAGGGCGGGAGCACCGCGGGGGAGGCCCUACUGGGGCCCAGGCAAGUCAGCCACACCAAAAACAAAGGCAACCCGAAAAGUUAAAUUAAGGCAGUUAAAGAAAACUCCAUUCCAACAGUCUUAAAUUCGGCUGUGCCAGACCAGAGAGCCCCAGGCUCCAUGUCAGCAUCCACAGUGAAAACUGUCCAAGCUCGUACUGGGCGUAGUCUGUCUGAAAUUAAUAUUCAGGGAUCGAGCAGGCUCGCAAGUCCACUUAGAUGUCGGAGUUGGGCGGGGAAGAGCAGUUUGGGUACUGGGAAGCUUUUUUUUGGCCCCUCUUAGGAGUAGCUUUCAUUUUCAUUCCACCUUGUGAUCCACUGUUUUUUUUCAAGGUUAUCAAUGUAUUUUUCAUCUUUGAUCUCCCGCUCUUCCUUCCGGAUCCUCACAGCAUGGUAUCGGGGAACGCUAUCGUCGUACCUGGAGCGUUUAAAGAAUCCGCACUGAUCAAAGGGAGAGAGAAGCAGAAACAAAUUAAGGAUUGCAGGAAAAGCAAGUGCACAAAAUGGGAAUGUCUAAGCUUCCUGCUCAGCUACGCCUACCUCUGGACGAAGGGAAAAAAGACAUGGUUUCUUUUAAGAAGGAACGAGCAGGUUGAAAAGACAACAGCCAGUGGGGAUAAGCGGAAGAGAAGACAGCUGUAAAACUAGAAGGAAAGUCCGUUUUUUCCAUCUUGUCUUUACAUUUUAUAACAAUGUAGUAAGCUGCCUCUUUACUAACAAUUUCAGAGCUCUGGAACAGUGCUUCCAUUUUUUAUAAUCACAAUACUCUGUUUAAAAGAUCUCAAUUUUGGAUUAGAUGUUAAGGAACAAUCUUUUUAAAGGCCACGAACUAAAGAAUAUUUUGUGUCCUUGUCUCACUAACAAAAUGAAAUCAAAUCACCCAUAUUUUUACAGAUUCCUAUUCGACUAUGCCAGUGUUCAAAUGAGUCAUUUUAAGAACUUUCUCUCCUCCGAGGCUAAGUACACAUCUCUCAUGAGCUGUAAGAUAAUUUACACUGUGUGGAUUUCCUGUUGUGCUUCCAAAUUUAAGCCGUUUCAUUAAAUCAUGUAGUAACCGUGUCCUAUAAUAAAAUCAAUCAGGUACUGCAAAGAACUUGAGGAAAGUAUGCCAUUAAAUUUCAGAGCACCCCUAAUUGUCUUUUUGCAGAAGACAUUUACACUUAAAUUAUUUAUGAAUAUAUAUUUUAUUCAUUUUUUUAAAAAUAUUCAAUCUGAUCCAAAGUAGAUUUUUAUGGAGAACAUAUCAGGAAAAUUUUUAAUCAAAUUGAAAUUUUUAAAUGAAUAAAAUAUGUUUCAUGGAAAAGAUGUGCUUCGAUUUAAAUGCAGCUAGGAGGAGGAUGAGGAAGAUAUUUGGAAUGGUUAAUGUGUAUCAUGUAAUAGGAACAGAACAUUUAUUUCGAAUGAGGUUAUAAAAAUGUCAUGGGGCAAAGUAAAAUUAGAUUCAGUCAUCACUAAAUCAUUGGGAAAAAUGGACCAAGAAGUUUUGUCGUAAGGCCAUUUCCACAUUGGACUCCUUUAUUAUUUUGUGCAAAAAGCCAAAAUACCUGUUACAAAAUGUGGCUCUUGCUUCAUUUUAAAAGAGGAGGAAGUCAAGGGUGGUAUGUAGAACUGAAAUGGAAAGGCUGGGAUUCAUUGUGACAGUGUCAUGGAAAGGGAUUAUAGGAAGAAUUCCAUCCCCUCGUGCCCACAUAAAUGGAAAAAGGAAUUACCACCAAUUCCUGUUUCCAUGGAUUUACAAACAAGGGAAGCAAAACACGAACUUAAAAUCAAUCAAGACCCAAAGUUGAAUAAGAUCUCUAGGAACAUGAAACAAGGUCAAACUCCAUUACAACAUAUUGAAACCGUAACUGUCCAGAGCAUUUUUAUAUUAGAAUUUUGUAUAAUGAAGGUCACUUGGUAAAGAGCGAUCUUCUGAAAUUGGCCAUCGUGUCCACCAGGUCAACACAUUCAUAGUUUGUUGUAGUGGUCUUUGACCCGUAGUAGAUAUGCAGGAAAAGGAAGUCGCAUGCUUAGCGAGCAUAAAACAAUUUCUGAGCAACAAAAGCAUUCCAAGCCUUCCCCCAUCACUUUAUAGCAAGAUCAGAAAGGACAGUAAGGAAGCCUUCUCAAGAGAAACACAAUGUUUCCAACAUGCAACAGGUUAAUUAGGCAGUCAACACAAGCUUCUAUCUGUGGAAAAUCCCAAAGUGGACAAGAAAUCUGCAGUGAUUUCUUAUUCACCUUUGAAAUUCCAAGUGGGAUGCUAUAUACUGGGUUUACAACACAUGGCAAACUGGGCUCCUAGGGAGGUCUAAUGCCUCCUUUUGUGUGUACAUAGAGUCCAAUCAUCUUCAUUGCUGUGGGUGACAUUUAACAACACAAAAUAACUCACCUGCAAUAAAAGAUUCUUUGUGCAUUUCUAAAACACAAACAAAACUGAGCUUUCAAGUGAAAUAAAACAAAUCCAAGCAAGGCAAGCCAGUGUGGACAUUUGGAAACAUCUGUUAAUGGGACACACACAGCAAGCUGUUGCUCUUAAAGUUAGCCACCACAACCAUAGCAGGUCCCACAGCUAGCAAUGAAAAAACAUUGAUCAAUUACCACAGAAGUAGAUCAAUACUAUGCAUCAGAAGUAAGCCUCUCUUUAUCAGACGGCUGAGCAUGGAUCUCAGCCUUGUGAUAGGUGGCAUCAUAAUGAUCUUUCUUAUUUCUCUUGAAGAAACCACACUAUAAGGAAGCAAGGUAUUUAGUCAGUUUUACAGUUUUGUGUAUAAGAGAGAAACAAAAGAAAAAUCUCAGAUUGUAAUCUGUUUUCUAGUUAUGGCUUGUUACAAAGAGACCACUUAGGGAUCAACCAAUAGCUUGUUACAAAGAGCCCACUUAUGGAUCAACCAGAAGUGAACAGCCACCAAACCGACCUGAUUACCAUGGGUCUCUGGUCUGAUACUUAAACCGGAUGACAUUAAUUCGCUAAUUGGUUUUUCCAUCUGUAACCAACAUCCGGAGGACAAAAAAAAUCAUCCUAAAAGGAAAAUCAUAUAUCCUUCUGAUUAUAGCUUUGGGUGGUUUCUUCAUGCAGGAGAAUAUGAACUCUAAAAUAGGCAAAAGAUUGAUUUCUGCAGUUUUUCUGUGACAAAGAUGAUCUAGAUUUAGCAUAAAUCCAAAUAAAAUAGAUACAUUUUUCUGCCUUUCACAGGAAGUUUCAUGGAACAACUGCUGUGUACUUGAGGACUUUGUAUUUGUGGGUAAAUCGUAAUAUAAAUUCGAAUACACCAUCAUGAGAGAAUGACAGCUGUUAUGUUCCCAAAUUCUAACACACCAGGUAAUCGCUAAAUGGUAGGAACCUCUGCUCCUCAGGUUAGGUCACUCUCAAUCAUCACAGAGAUGUAAUUCCCCUUUUUACUAUAAUUUCCUUCAUUCAACGAGGGAGGACUUUUUCUAUUUUCUUGUUUGUAAGGCUGUAGAACUACCCUUUGGAAUCAGCUUGGUCAAGUAAGUCUGCCCUCCUGGAAAACUCUGCUUCCUAGUCUGGCCACUCCUUAAAGUGAAAAUCUAGAUGUUUUGUACGGCAUGGUAACUACGAACUACAUGUGGGUAUUUCAAAGUUAAAUCAAAAACACCUGCAUGGCAACAGCCACAUGCCAAGUGUUCAGUAGCCACAUGUGUCCCGCUGACUAGUACAGCUUCAUAAUGGCUCCGUUAUCAUAGUUUUACCCUUUAUCUUGAUGUCUACUUGUGACUCCCUCCAUCUAAUACACAGUGACCACACCCAGCCAACUUGCAGUAACACAUGCGGUCGAUAGGGAACCAAGUGUCCUUGUCCUGCUUCCAGCCUGGCAGCAUUCUUACCAUCCACAGGCAUGAGCAUCCUUGUUGGCAAAAUGAAGGUGACUAGACCAGCCUGAAGGAAGGACUUUCCUCUUUACCUCCAAACAAAACCCUCUGCAAUAUCCUAGUAUUUAAAGCAAGUAACAUCAGGGGUGCCUGGGUGGCUCAGUCAUUAAGUGUCUGCCUUCAACCCAGGUCAUAAUCCCGGGGUCAGGGGAUCGAGAGCCUGCUUUUCCCUCUCCCAUGACCCCUGCUUGUAUUCCCUCUCUCACUGUCUCUCUCUCUCUCUGUGUCAAAUAAAGAAAUAAAGCACAUAACAUCAGAAUGACUCUGGCUGAAGCGGGGAUAUUGGCCCUAGCUGCACCACCCUAGCUUAAUCGUGGCACCUACGUGGAUGUGUAAAACCCGGUUUAAUGGCCACUGAACUGGAGUCCUUUAUGGCCCUUAAGCUCCAUGAUUUUAAUACAUGAAAAGGCAUCAUUUAUCUUGAGAAAGAAGAGUAUCAGUAAAGUAAUAAAAGUGGUCUUCGUGUAGGGUUCAUAGGAGGUUGAUUAGGGUUCACUUGUGAGUUCUGGAUACCUUAGAGCUACAAACAACCCAUGAGAUUAUCUAGUCCAGUCCACUCACUAAAAAUCGAAAGCAAACCAGUGCCCCAGGAAGAUGAAAUGAUUUGCCUAAUAUUAUAGAGCUUGGGUGUUUUUUAAUUCUCACCCCACAGCUAUGUCUCAUCCUCAUUAAAGACUGCCAGUAGGACCUGCUCUGAAGAAGACUAUCCUUGUGACCUCCUCCAGAAAGCACACAAAAGCCAUCCUCAAAUACUAAAUUUCAAAUUUAGUUUUUGAUACAGAAUAAUUUUCAGAGCAUCUCCUAUUGCUGGCUGUGCUGACCAGAGUAACCGGCUGCCCGGAGGGGAUGUCAGCAGUAAAACUGGCCAGUACCCAAUGCAGGGAGGAGUCUCGCAAUGCAAGGAAGGAGACAGUCACCAACCUCCAAAUCACACAUUUGAGGAACACCAGAAAACUCACUCAGACUGGUAAAAGGCAGUUGUUUGGAAAAAUAACAUACCAAAAAAAUCCCCAAUAUUUGAAAGUGACAGUAUCUGAAUCUGUCAGUUAUACUCUUGGAUCCAAGGGAAAGGAUAAAGAUGGUCUAAUCCUAGAGAUUGUUGGUAGAGGUUUAUAAUCAUUUAAUUCAAAAUCCUCUGGACCAGAGAGGUGUGGAAAUCUAGAAUUUUGGCAUUUUAGAAAAGUAAUAUGCUGCAUGCAUAAAACGACUCUAACCAAAACAUUAUUAGUUUCACAGCAGAACCAUUAAAUAAAGGAUAAAGAAUACAAAUAGCUUCUCUUCACAUGUUGUCCAGUUCUGCGGCCAAGUAAGUCAUUAUGAACUUUCAGCUUUCAGAGUUUUCUGCAAUUUGUAGUUGUCGAUAAGGGACUAUGAACCUUCAUUAGUCACUUAGAAUAAUCCAAACUAUGGGUCAUAAUCUUUGCCAACAAAAGUAUGCAACCAUCUCAUACAUACAUUUUUAUAAUAUAGACUGUUUAUUGGCAGAAAUCCAGGAGAAGAUACUAAUUUUACUUGCAGGACCAAAUUCUAAUGAAGAAUAUCCUAUUAAACCCGGAUCUUGUUUGAGAGAUGCAGUGAGGACCCCCUUGCAAUGGAGUUACGAAUUUCUUGCUUUUCUGUUCCUAAUCUAGUUGCAGCUUUCACAAGCCCCCAUGGCUACCGUGAACAUUUCUUUACAAAAGUUGAAAUUAACAAGGAUACAAGUUCAGAUUAAUGUGACAGCCAACAAUUUGGCUUUGAUUCAGAAUUUUAGAUAAAGAAAAUGCUGAAGUGGUAACGUUUUUUAAAUUGGUAUUUGCCAAACUUGCUAAGUUAUGUGAUAAACACCAAAAUUUAUUUAAGAAACUCCUUAUAAUAUACAAAUACUUUUAAAUUUCAGGUAUGAGGAAAUAUACUGGUGUUCAUCAUAAAAUUCUCAAGUUUGCUUCAUGUUGGCAAAGUUUCAUAAUGAAAUGUUGAGAAAAGGGAAGCAAUACAAAGGAAUACACAGAUUCUAUCAGUGUAAAUUCACUCUUUUAAAAAGCAAGAGAUAAAAAUUAGGUUGUUAGAACUCAAAUGCCAAAUAGGACUUACCUUCCAUAGUAUAAAUACUAAGAGAGCCAGCAUCAGGAUCCCAGCGAGGAUAGCCACUAGGAUAAUCCACCACGGUACUCCUGAGUACUGAGCGACGGUCUUGGAGGGAAACACAGUCACACGAAUCUAUGGGGCAUAAAAGCAAGCGCCACUGUAAGGCAAGUGAGAAUACCAGGAGUUUAUAGUUCCAAGUCUGCUUCCAGACACAUUUUGAACAAUGCAGCCUGUGGAGGAAUGAGAUGCCUUUCUGAUGUGAGAUCUUUUCCCAGAACCUGGAAAAUGCUGGACUGUGUUUUGACAAAGUUAUUAUUAUUAUUUUUUUUUUUUUGGUAACUUAUCUUUUUUAAACUUUUGUAUUGAAUCAAAGUAAUUGUAUAAUAAAGCACUUUUUUUCAUCUCCAACAUUCAACAAUCAUCAAUAUACAGCCCAUCUUGCUUCAUCUGUAUAACCUGGCAUCUUGUUGAGAACGAUCACCUUCGCUUUUCGUUUUCAGUAGUGGAAAUAAAGGGGCCAUUUUAUGUAGAAUUAACCUAUAUUCCUCACUUGGACUUUAAAGUUGUUGUGAAAAAUAAAAACAGGGACGGAGCUAUAGUGCUGAUACCAUGGUAACUUCCCCUUAGGAUGUCUAAUGAAGGACCGUCAGGCACAAGAAGACUUCCUUAAACGGCCUGGUGCAUGCUCUCCAACAGUGUAUUUGGAUAGAGCAGACCCUUUCAGAGGUGACUUCGAGCUGUAAACAGUAGCUGAUGAGAAGCCUAAGCUCUAGACAUUUGAUAGUUGGCAAAUAUCAAUUAAACAGAAGUGGUGUUUAUUCAGAAAUCUAAAAAGUUGCUUCUGGCAAUUUGCAACAACUCGGUUCUGUGCCUUUAGUGGAUUUCCAUAAUUCCAGGAGACUAUUUUUCAAAGCUCCUGAAAGACCUGGUGUUUGCUACAAAUGGGAUUUCAUAAGCCAAUAGAUUAGCGAGCUUCCAGUUUGAAGUUUCUGGUAUUUCUGACUUAAGAGAAUGUAAAGUGAAGGAUAAACAAAAAGUGCGAGCCAUUAAGUUCUGAGAAGUGGUUUCAGUCCAGUACUGUUAGUCCCGGAUGCUGCCUAAAAAGGCUUCCAUAUCUGCCAACAUUCUGCUUUGAUUAACAAAAAGUCUUCACUAAAAUACUUCCUUUUCUACUUAUACUAGAAAACAGCCUCUCAACUAUCUGACUUUAGAAUAUACUCUGAAGCAAGAGAACUGCUUUUCUUGGAACAUUUAAGAACGAAGAAGUCCUUUUCAGCCUGCUCUCCUGACUCCAACACCUUUAUCAGCUACUGUGUUUCCUGUUAUGCUCUCAGUGAGGUUUGGCCCAAACUGGCAGCCAGCCCUACCCCCAGGGAAGGGGUGCCCCGUGGCUCACUUCCCCUCACCACCCUUCGCCCGACAGGCACCCCAGCUUUAAGCUAAAACAACCCUUUCUUGAGAUGACGAGGUCUAGCACAGGGGCAUCCACGAAAUGGGAAGAACAGUGGAAACAGUGAUAAAAGAGGGCACUUGGGAUCAGUAAGCCUCCCUACUGUGAACCCAAACAAAACCACUAAUGAGCCAGCUCCCUAUCACUUAUUCUGCCUAUCUAGUAGAAGGAAGCAUAGAGUACGUCCUGGGGGCAAGGGGACAACCUGGAAGGGCCAUCCUCAUUUUUAAGCCUAAGCUCUGUUAAACCUGGAAGUGGAGAGUAGAGAAUGGUCCAUGGCAGGGGAAUCAGCUUUUAUAAUCAGACCGCAUACCAGAGCCUUUCAAAUGGCUGGUAAUAGGGAAAAUCAUUCCUAUAAAUGGCAGCAAUCCAACAGUAUGGGCGGGGCGGGGGGGGAGGACUGUGUAUGGAAAUCCAGCUGGGAGAUCUAGCCCCAAGUCUGGCUACCAUUCAAACCAGAUUUGGGAGCCUUUUAGAACAACUCACUGGGCAUCAAAGACAGAGGACUGAAGCCAGGGGCAGAGCCACACACUUAAAGGGCAGAUGGGCUCCGCAAACCCAGGCUGGGUGUAAGGCCACACUGUAGUCCACGAAAGGGAGGAAGGCCAGUCAGCCGAGAUUUUGUUUUCUGAAACUGUCAACUAAAGUUUUGUUCCUGUAGGAUGGUCAUUCUCCAGCAGGGACUGGGAAUAAAGGGGGAUGGAGCCUCAGCAUAGGGUCAGGGGAGCUCUGGGAAGCCUGGUCAGAUCUUGCCACAGCAGCUGUUGUUAAUGGACAGUGACAGGUUGAGGUGAGUAGCAAUUACUCCAACUCCAAAAACAAUGGGGGGGGGUGCCUAGAUUUAAAAUCUAGGCAUUUCCAUAGGGAUGACCUAUGCAUGGAACCUCAUCCAUCAUGUGCCCAUGAAGGGGAAAUGGGGCCAAAGGUCUGCUGAUGAGUCAGUGCGAUCGUGAGUGAGCAGGGCUUACCCCUCAUUCACUUGCUCGCUGCCAGAAUCGUUGCCCUGAAUCACUCUAACGUCAUACUCUCUAUUCUUACUGCACAUCAGUGUAAGAAAUCACUCCGUGAAGGUAUUUUCAUGUCUUUCACAAAGCUAUGUUAAAGACCUCAUUCCCUUAGUGAGUGUUCCUCAUAUCAGAAACUCAUCUUAUAAAAGGAUCCAUAUCUCAAAUUCUCCACAUUUAGAGCCAAAAGAAGAAAAUCACAUUUCCCUAAAGAAUGCUGUGUUUUUCACCUACCAUAUUUUCUCAUCUCUGGCAUCCAGGAAACAGAUACUCUUUCCAACUUCCUUAGGAAUGAAGUGGGGGAUAUAGAAAUACAACUAAUAAACAAUUCGUUCCUCAGCUCAAUUCAACAAUUAUCUCCUGGUUCACCAUGAAUCAUGAAAUUCUUAACAGUUCACAAGGCGUAUCUUAUUACUUUUGCUUCUCUAUCAUUCAUGCAGGGAAGGCACACAGUGUGUCCUUAGUAAGUGCUUAUAAACCAGAUGGAUUUCACUGGUGCUAAAAUGUAACCAUUUUAUCUGGUUUAGUUAGGAGACCAGUUCUAUUGGACUUUGUUCUAACAAUGUACUAAAAUGUUCAUAUUAAGAAGUGAACACAAAACUCUUAAAAUUGUUGGGUUAUAAAGGAAACAAAAAGGUUUUUUUUUUUUUUUUCUUCUCUUUUAAAGCCAGGAGUAGAGUAAGAGCAAGGGGAAGUUUUAAUAUGAAGACCAAAAGAUAAGGCUGAAUAACCCCACCUCCUCGCUUCUCUCUCCAAAGAAAGAUGAUCUUUGGGCUGGAAAGGACAGAGGAACCAAGAUAAAGACAGAACUGAAACCCCAAAUAAGUGAGGGAAUAAGAAAGGAAAGCACUGUAACACUUGAAUCAAGCUUAAAUCUUUAGGCCCAGAAAAAGUACACUUUAAAAUACUGAAGAAACCUAUAGGGAGAACAUGGGAGCUGUUGUCACUCAGAAAUCAGUCAAGAGAAGAGGUGCCAGAAGACUAGAGGCAAGAAAAUGUCUCUCUCUUCAAAAUAAAUGCACUCUAGAUACAAGACAUUGAUCCACUCACGUACCUACCAAUUAUUAAACCAAGGAGGAUCACAGCAGGGAUCCCAACUCCCAUGAGCAGGCAUGAGUUCUCCAAGCCCCAACAUGAAAGGCCCAAGAGAGCCUCACUUUCCUGUGUGACCCAGCCGCUAGACUGGUUACCAGCACCCCCGUUCCAUCAUCUUCCAGCCAACAAGAGCACCCGAGGAGGACUUAGGAGCCCACCGUCUGGUCUCCCCUCCACAUGUCUGCCAGUACUGUGACCUUGAAGGAGAGAUAACCUUCCUUGGAUUGUUUUCUCAUCUGAAUUUGAGAUCUGGGGACUUACAGAGUUAAGAACAGGAGCCCUGAAACCAGAUGGGUUUACAGGUUUCCAUACAGGACCGCACUGGCAUCCCCCGCUGUGCCUGCUUCCUUUUUUGGAAAAUGAGUCCAUCUACCUCGUCAUUCUGAGGUUUACAGGACUACACACAGAUAAAAAGUCCAGUAAACUGCAGACCUUUUAUUAAGGUGCUAUUAAUGUCUGUCCCUUCCUGUCCCUUCCCUCUCGAGAGUGUGGUGUUCUUCCAACUCUUAAAUACCCAGUGAUUCUCCAGGUUGUCGGUUUCAAGUUACAGAAUGCUAUGACCACUGCCUAGGUCAGAGGGGAAGAGAAGAGCUUCUCAGGGAGGCUCUGGCUUGGGUGACGAUCCCUUAUGAUGCCUUAUUGGUAAGAGGCGGGGAGGUGGGCUGGAGUAGCAGGCAGAGAGCAUCUAAGGCUAGGGUAACCAGAUGUAUGGUUAAGUCUGGAACGGUCCUGAUUUUUUAACCCUUGUCCCAGCAUCCCGCCCAGGUUAGCAUUUGCUCCAGACAAAUGUCUUCGGGUGUGAAUAAUAUACUUGAACAGCCAGGGAUCGCUGUCUUCAGAAGCCAGUGCUCAGGAGGCUCACUGCGCUUUCGGUCGGCUCAAUGUCCGAAGCCAGAACCCGUCCAUAGGCACAUCAGGAGAUCAGCUGGAGAAUAUUGAUGAACAGAAGAUCCUUCUAGAAGCUGCCAACAGUGAACACAGAGCACACCAUCACUUAAACAGAGGAGCUCCCUCACUGCGAUCUACUGAAAGUCAGCCCUCAACACGAGGAUUAAAACCAGAAGAGAAGAAACAGACACACGGUAAUUAAGCAGAUGGUCACACUGGAGCGUAUGAUAAACCAGGACUGUCAGCGUGCAGCAGCACAUGCAGUUACGAGUAUAGGCUUUGAAAACAAAGCAGAGCUCGGAUGCAGAAUCAGCCUCAUAACUGCUGAGGGAGUCUUAAAACAUUAAUCUCUCUGAAUCUCUCUUCUCUCAUCUGUGAAAUGGUAGGGAUAAGAAAAAAUACCUCAAAGAACUAUCAAGGGGAUGAAAUGAGAAAAAGCAAAUAAAAUGUUUAUUUUAGCAUAGUGCCUGAGGCACAAUCAACACUUAUAAAUAUUUACUAUUUUAAAAAAUAAGAACGAGGGACACCUGGGUGGCUCAGUCAGUAAAGCAUCUGCCUUUGGCUCAGGUCAUGAUCCUGGGGCCCUGGGAUCGAGCCCCAUGUUGGCUCCCUGCUCAGCGGGCAAGUGUGCUUCUCCUGCUCCCUCUGUGUACUUGCUCUCUCUCUCCCUCUCAUAAAUAAAUCUUUUUAAAAAAAUAAAUAAGAAUGAAAGCUUUGAAGGUCUCUUGCUAACGUGCCAAUCUCUUCUAUAAUGAGUUUGGUUCUAUGGGGGGUGAACACUGACUGGCCCACCCCAGACGCAUAUCCCAGUUCUGUUUAUAGGUUAUACUGGGUCCAAAACUUCAGAAAACAUCAUUUCCUUCAACAAGCCCUGGGUCAGACUGAUGUGCCAUCAUGGCAGCUGAUCAGCAGAAAUCCUCAGCCUGACUUGGUUAUUCAACUAUGACAGAAGAUGUGACACCAGAGAAGUCAGCACACCACUAUGUCACUUUUCCUCGGGAAAUUAAGGAUGUUCCCCCACAGAAGUUCGCUUUCCUUAUAUGUGCUACAGAGAUGCAGGGUAAAUCGAUGUACCUUGAGGUUCAGGAAGUUUAUUUCACUUCGUGGCUCACAAGCGAUCUUUUCCAAUCCUUUGGAUUCUACUUUCACCAAAUAAAGCAACCAUUUGCCGUUGCUAAUUUCUUUUGGCCACUGGAUGUUCAAGGUUGCCGUGCCAAGGUUUUUAAGAGGUUUCCCCAAGUUAAUUACCUGUAAGAAAAUAACACGUAUUAUAUCCCCGUGUAAGUCUCUCAAUCUAAAAUUAAAUAGCCACUCCUGCAGCCAGGGAGAAAAAGCAUGACCCUACGAUGAAAAGUACAGGCUCCAGAGCUGGACUGCAGAGAGCCCGGCGCCCACAGCAGAGAUGCAGGCCUAGGAAAGGUCAGAGAUGGAGGACUGCUCCUUCAACCCGGCAACUCCUGUGAGCAAGAGAAUCUGCUCCCGACCCGGAAGGUGGCGGGGUCUGCGAGUCGCUCUAUAACCUCCUGGGCCCUGUAGAGGAGUGUGGCCUGUGGCAGCCCGCCAGCAAUCUGCUUCUAGGAAGCCCCUCCUUAUGCCAAAAUGAAGUCACCUCAGUCCGCUACCACAAGGGAGGGCAGGGGACGGUGGUUGGGUAGCAACUGAGAGUGGGAAUAAAACCAUUACAAAGGCCAUGAAUCAGGAUUCAAGCCGGGAACAGAGCAGCUUCCUAGGCAGAAGCCAAAUGAGGAGUGAGCUCUGUGUGUGGGGCAGGACCGCUGUGGCACCCAGGGCCACCGGUGGCAGCCACACCCAUGCAGGCGUCCUCACCUCUGCCACCACCACCUAUCCCAGCUGUGUCUACAAUGCUGAGAGACACCCCAAGCAGAACUCAGCCCCCCAUCCUGCUGGAGUCAGGGGUGGGUGCAUUCUUGCCAUCUCAGACACAGCCACUGGGCUGUCUUGGCUGAUUUGAGCCACGCAGACCCAAACCCACAGAUGAGUCACAAGCCCCCUCCGCACCAUGCCCUCAUGUUCACCCAACUGGACUGAGAGUCACUGUGAUUCUUGCUUAGAAAUGCUUCCUCACCGGCACCGGGCUUGUAAAAUGUGAAGGAACAUUAACCAUACGCCGUAAGAGAGAGGACCUCACAACGGAAGAAAGAAAUCCCAACACAGUCUAAAGCCAGAUAUCAACUAUUUUGAGAUUUGUGUGUUACAGACAGACUCUGGGGAGAGAGAGGGGCGGGGUAUUCCUUUGUCCCUACAUCGCUUAUACACAAAAACUAAACUGGAUUUUGAACAAGUCCCAUGUCGAAUGAUAGUUGUGUUCUCCAUUCUGAAGGACAAAACUUCUACUGUAAGCCGGUAUGUGAUAUAAACAUUGGUGAACUCACUUUUAA